rnacentral:rRNA from 1 species
AUUGAACGCUGGCGGCAGGCCUAACACAUGCAAGUCGAGCGGCAGCGGAAAGUAGCUUGCUACUUUGCCGGCGAGCGGCGGACGGGUGAGUAAUGUCUGGGAAACUGCCUGAUGGAGGGGGAUAACCACUGGAAACGGUAGCUAAUACCGCAUAACGUCGCAAGACCAAAGAGGGGGACCUUCGGGCCUCUUGCCAUCAGAUGUGCCCAGAUGGGAUUAGCUAGUAGGUGGGGUAACGGCUCACCUAGGCGACGAUCCCUAGCUGGUCUGAGAGGAUGACCAGCCACACUGGAACUGAGACACGGUCCAGACUCCUACGGGAGGCAGCAGUGGGGAAUAUUGCACAAUGGGCGCAAGCCUGAUGCAGCCAUGCCGCGUGUAUGAAGAAGGCCUUCGGGUUGUAAAGUACUUUCAGCGGGGAGGAAGGUGCUGAGGUUAAUAACCUCAGCAAUUGACGUUACCCGCAGAAGAAGCACCGGCUAACUCCGUGCCAGCCGCCGCUGUAA